UGUAUUCUAGCUGUACCGACUCAAUACCAGCUCUAUCUUCUCAACCCCAGCUCUAUCAUCUCAACCCCAGCUCUAUCAUCUCAACCCAGCUAUCUCAACUCAACUUGAAAAUGGCUUGUCCACCGACCAAAAAGAUGAAAAGUCAUGAAAUGCCUUCAUGGACUUCAAUCCUGGAACCCCUGGACCUGAGUGCAGUUCCUGAGGAUUUCCAUCUUGAGCAAGUACUUUCUCAAAAGUGCGAAGGAGCAGUGUUUAUAAAUCUUCAAUACGACACACAAGAAAUUGUGCUGCAGUGUAUUCUUAAAGGAACAGUGGGCGAGGAAUUAAUUCCGCUCAUCCUUCAAUCUGUAGACGAAGUUCCACCAAUUUCACCAAGAGAUUCACUCAAAGAAAAAAUUUUGAGGUACGAGCUCGCACCGAGUAAAGUGGCCGUACAUGACGUAAUGACUGCGUCAAAGGUAAUUUGGCCCAUACCUUCAAUCCAACAUGGGAAAGUCCGAACAAUCUGAUUGAUUCAAUUGUGGAAACGUUGGGCGAAAUUCCCAUUGACACAACGCUCUCAACCGACCAAGAUAAUAUAUCUACAUUGAAAGCUGAUUUAGAGUUCCAUGCAAGAAAUACUCUUUUUCUACAACAACAGAAAGCAGCUAGUUAUCCCAGUCUGGCUCUUUGGUGCAUUUAUAUUACUCGAACGUUGUCAAAUCAAUUUCGAGAUAAUACAUACAAGUACGGAAAUCAAUUUUCUGUCGUACGCACGAGUAAGAGAGGACCGCCUGCACAAACAGACUCAUGUGUAGUCCUGAUAGGUUCGACAGUACCCCGAUUUUUGUAUGAAUGCAAGCCACAACUCUCGCCGAAUGUAGAGCAAUUAUCGUCAAAGCACAUAAUUGAUCAUCUCCUGCAAGGCUAUUACUGUGUAAAACAUUACAAGGUCUCAAAAAUGUUUGUCUGUUUAACCGAUUUGGCCGAUUGGCAUUAUAUGCGAAUAGAAUUGAAAGAUUCAAAAAUAGCCAUAACUGGGUAUAAACAUAUUGCUGGAAUUAACAAAAAGAAGAUUUCUACAACAUCCCUAACCCUGCAUACACAAUUUAUAGUCGGGAUGGAAAGUUCAAUGUGUCAAUAAGAAUUGUCAUUGCACGUCCUACACGUAUUGUCAUUGUUGUAUUGUCAUUGUUGUAUUGCACUUUAUUGUUGUAAUGUCAUUGUUGUAUUUGUAUUGCACUUUAUUGUUGUAAUGUCAUUGUUGUAUUGCACUUUAUUGUUGUAAUGUCAUUGUUGUAUUGCACUUUAUUGUUGUAAUGUCAUUGUUGUAUUUGUAUUGCACUUUAUUGUUGUAAUGUCAUUGUUGUAUUGCUGUUGUAAUUGUUG